GACGAACGCUGGCGGCGUGCCUAAUACAUGCAAGUAGAACGCACAGUUUAUACCGUAGCUUGCUACACCAUAGACUGUGAGUUGCGAACGGGUGAGUAACGCGUAGGUAACCUGCCUGGUAGCGGGGGAUAACUAUUGGAAACGAUAGCUAAUACCGCAUAAUAUUAAUUAUUGCAUGAUAAUUAAUUGAAAGGUGCAAUUGCACCACUACCAGAUGGACCUGCGUUGUAUUAGCUAGUAGGUGAGGUAACGGCUCACCUAGGCGACGAUACAUAGCCGACCUGAGAGGGUGAUCGGCCACACUGGGACUGAGACACGGCCCAGACUCCUACGGGAGGCAGCAGUAGGGAAUCUUCGGCAAUGGACGAAAGUCUGACCGAGCAACGCCGCGUGAGUGAAGAAGGGUUUCGGAUCGUAAAGCUCUGUUGUAAGAGAAGAACGGGUGUGAGAGUGGAAAGUUCACACUGUGACGGUAGCUUACCAGAAAGGGGCGGCUAACUACGUG
rnacentral:rRNA from 1 species